UUUCUACUCCCUCCGUCCGAAAAUACUUGUCAUCAAAAUGGAUAAAAAGAUAUGUAUCUAAAACUAAAAUAUGUCUAGAUACAUUUCCUUUUAUCCAUUUUGAUGAGAAGUAUUUCCAGACGGAGGGAGUAUUUG
rnacentral:pre_miRNA from 1 species